UACGUAGGGGCAAGCGUUGUCCGGAAUCAUUGGGCGUAAAGAGCGUGUAGGCGGCUCGGUAAGUCCGCUGUGAAAGUCCAGGGCUCAACCCUGGAAUGCCGGUGGAAACUGUCGAGCUAGAGUCCGGAAGAGGCGAGUGGAAUUCCUGGUGUAGCGGUGAAAUGCGCAGAUAUCAGGAGGAACACCAAUGGCGAAGGCAGCUCGCUGGGACGGUACUGACGCUGAGACGCGAAAGCGUGGGGAGCAAAACAGG
rnacentral:rRNA from 1 species